rnacentral:rRNA from 1 species
AUUGAACGCUGGCGGCAUGCCUUACACAUGCAAGUCGAACGGCAGCACGGACUUCGGUCUGGUGGCGAGUGGCGAACGGGUGAGUAAUGCAUCGGAACGUACCCGGUAGUGGGGGAUAACUACCCGAAAGGGUGGCUAAUACCGCAUAUACUGUGCGCAGGAAAGCAGGGGACCUUCGGGCCUUGUGCUACCGGAGCGGCCGAUGUCAGAUUAGGUAGUUGGUGGGGUAACGGCCUACCAAGCCUGCGAUCUGUAGCGGGUCUGAGAGGAUGAUCCGCCACACUGGGGCUGAGACACGGCCCAGACUCCUACGGGAGGCAGCAGUGGGGAAUUUUGGACAAUGGGCGCAAGCCUGAUCCAGCCAUGCCGCGUGAGUGAAGAAGGCCUUCGGGUUGUAAAGCUCUUUCGGACGGAAAGAAAUCGCGCAGGCUAAUACCCUGUGCGGAUGACGGUACCGUCAUAAGAAGCACCGGCUAACUACGUGCCAGCCGCCGCGGUAA